AGAACGAACGCUGGCGGCGGGGUUUAGGCAUGCAAGUCGAGCGAGAAAGCCGAAAGGCAAGUAAAGCGGCGUAAGGGUGAGUAAUGGUUAGUCAACGUACCGAGCAGACGCGAAUAAUUUCUCGAAAGGGAUUGUAAUGCGCGAUGAGACCACAUGGCCUACGGGCUGAGAGGUCAAAGGUCGGGGAUCCUUCGGGACCUGGCGCUGUUUGAGCGGACUAACUCUGAUUAGCUAGUUGGCGGGGUAACGGCCCACCAAGGCGAUGAUCAGUAGCCGGUCUGAGAGGAUGUCCGGCCACACUGGGACUGAGACACUGCCCAGACUCCUACGGGAGGCUGCAGUCGCGAAUCAUUCACAAUGGGCGCAAGCCUGAUGAUGCCACGCCGCGUGCGGGAUGAAGGCCCUCUGGGUUGUAAACCGCUGUCAAGGGAGGGAAACGUAUGGUGUUAACAGCGCCAUGCUUGACUGCUCCCGUAAAGGACGCCCCGGACAAAA
rnacentral:rRNA from 1 species